rnacentral:tRNA from 2 species
GGGGUUAUAGCUCAGUUGGGAGAGCGCUUGCAUGGCAUGCAAGAGGUCAUCGGUUCGAUCCCGUUUAGCUCCACCA